GACGAACGCUGGCGGCGUGCUUAACACAUGCAAGUCGAACGGAAAGGCCCUGCUUUUGUGGGGUGCUCGAGUGGCGAACGGGUGAGUAACACGUGAGUAACCUGCCCUUGACUUUGGGAUAACUUCAGGAAACUGGGGCUAAUACCGGAUAGGAGCUCCUGCUGCAUGGUGGGGGUUGGAAAGUUUCGGCGGUUGGGGAUGGACUCGCGGGUUAUCAGCUUGUUGGUGGGGUAGUGGCUUACCAAGGCUUUGACGGGUAGCCGGCCUGAGAGGGUGACCGGCCACAUUGGGACUGAGGUACGGCCCAGACUCCAACGGGAGGCAGCAGUGGGGAAUAUUGCACAAUGGGCGGAAGCCUGAUGCAGCAACGCCGCGUGCGGGAUGACGGCCUUCGGGUUGUAAACCGCUUUCGCCUGUGACGAGGCGUGAGUGACGGUAAUGGGUAAAGAAGCACCGGCUAACUACGUG
rnacentral:rRNA from 1 species